rnacentral:rRNA from 1 species
GUGGGGAAUAUUGGACAAUGGGCGAAAGCCUGAUCCAGCCAUGCCGCGUGUGUGAAGAAGGUCUUCGGAUUGUAAAGCACUUUAAGUUGGGAGGAAGGGCAGUAAGUUAAUACCUUGCUGUUUUGACGUUACCAACAGAAUAAGCACCGGCUAACUUCGUGCCAGCAGCCGCGGUAAUACGAAGGGUGCAAGCGUUAAUCGGAAUUACUGGGCGUAAAGCGCGCGUAGGUGGUUCAGCAAGUUGGAGGUGAAAUCCCCGGGCUCAACCUGGGAACUGCCUCAAAAACUACUGAGCUAGAGUACGGUAGAGGGUAGUGGAAUUUCCUGUGUAGCGGUGAAAUGCGUAGAUAUAGGAAGGAACACCAGUGGCGAAGGCGACUACCUGGACUGAUACUGACACUGAGGUGCGAAAGCGUGGGGAGCAAACAGGAUUAGAUACCCGAGUAGUCC